GCACCAAUGGAUUGUGCUCUGGUACCAGUUAACCAACAGUGUCCAGUGUCAUCGCACAAUGCAACAAGAAUCUGUGCCAGUGUUGACAGUUCAUCUCUACAACAGCUCUUGGACUCUGGGAUCUCAACG